rnacentral:rRNA from 1 species
GACGAACGCUGGCGGCGUGCCUAAUACAUGCAAGUAGAACGCUGAAGGAGGAGCUUGCUCUUCUGGAUGAGUUGCGAACGGGUGAGUAACGCGUAGGUAACCUGCCUGGUAGCGGGGGAUAACUAUUGGAAACGAUAGCUAAUACCGCAUAACAGUAGAUGUUGCAUGACAUUUGCUUAAAAGGUGCAAUUGCAUCACUACCAGAUGGACCUGCGUUGUAUUAGCUAGUUGGUGGGGUAACGGCUCACCGAGGCGACGAUACAUAGCCGACCUGAGAGGGGGGUCGGCCAACCUGGGACCUGGACACGGCCCAGACUCCUACGGGAGGCAGCAGUAGGGGAUCUUCGGCAAUGGACGGAAGUCUGACCGAGCAACGCCGCGUGAGUGAAGAAGGUUGUCGGAUCGUAAAGCUCUGUUGUAAGAGAAGAACGAGUGUGAGAGUGGAAAGUUCACACUGUGACGGUAUCUUACCAGAAAGGGACGGCUAACUACGUG